rnacentral:rRNA from 1 species
GAGUUUGAUCCUGGCUCAGGACGAACGCUGGCGGCGUGCUUAACACAUGCAAGUCGAGCGGAAAGGCCCUUCGGGGUACUCGAGCGGCGAACGGGUGAGUAACACGUGAGUAACCUGCCCUGGACUUUGGGAUAACCCUCGGAAACGGGGGCUAAUACCGGAUACGACCUUCCUUCGCAUGGGGGUGGGUGGAAAGUUUUUCGGUCUGGGAUGGGCUCGCGGCCUAUCAGCUUGUUGGUGGGGUGAUGGCCUACCAAGGCGACGACGGGUAGCCGGCCUGAGAGGGCGACCGGCCACACUGGGACUGAGACACGGCCCAGACUCCUACGGGAGGCAGCAGUGGGGAAUAUUGCACAAUGGGCGGAAGCCUGAUGCAGCGACGCCGCGUGAGGGAUGACGGCCU